rnacentral:rRNA from 1 species
GACGAACGCUGGCGGCGUGCUUAACACAUGCAAGUCGAACGGAAAGGCCCUGCUUUUGUGGGGAGCUCGAGUGGCGAACGGGUGAGUAACACGUGAGUAACCUGCCCUUGACUUUGGGAUAACUUCAGGAAACUGGGGCUAAUACCGGAUAGGAGCUCCUGCUGCAUGGUGGGGGUUGGAAAGUUUCGGCGGUUGGGGAUGGACUCGCGGCUUAUCAGCUUGUUGGUGGGGUAGUGGCUUACCAAGGCUUUGACGGGUAGCCGGCCUGAGAGGGUGAACGGCCACAAUGGGACUGAGAGACGGCCCAGACGCCUACGGGAGGCAGCAGUGGGGAAUAUUGCACAAUGGGCGGAAGCCUGAUGCAGCAACGCCGCGGGCGGGAUGACGGCCUUCGGGUUGUAAACCGCUUUCGCCUGUGACGAAGCGUGAGUGACGGUAAUGGGUAAAGAAGCACCGGCUAACUACGUG